rnacentral:rRNA from 1 species
GCAGUCGAGCGGUAGCACAGAGAGCUUGCUCUCGGGUGACGAGCGGCGGACGGGUGAGUAAUGUCUGGGAAACUGCCUGAUGGAGGGGGAUAACUACUGGAAACGGUAGCUAAUACCGCAUAACGUCGCAAGACCAAAGUGGGGGACCUUCGGGCCUCAUGCCAUCAGAUGUGCCCAGAUGGGAUUAGCUAGUAGGUGGGGUAACGGCUCACCUAGGCGACGAUCCCUAGCUGGUCUGAGAGGAUGACCAGCCACACUGGAACUGAGACACGGUCCAGACUCCUACGGGAGGCAGCAGUGGGGAAUAUUGCACAAUGGGCGCAAGCCUGAUGCAGCCAUGCCGCGUGUGUGAAGAAGGCCUUCGGGUUGUAAAGCACUUUCAGCGGGGAGGAAGGCGUUAAGGUUAAUAACCUUGGCGAUUGACGUUACCCGCAGAAGAAGCACCGGCUAACUCCGUGCCAGCAGCCGCGGUAAUACGGAGGGUGCAAGCGUUAAUCGGAAUUACUGGGCGUAAAGCGCACGCAGGCGGUCUGUCAAGUCGGAUGUGAAAUCCCCGGGCUCAACCUGGGAACUGCAUUCGAAACUGGCAGGCUAGAGUCUUGUAGAGGGGGGUAGAAUUCCAGGUGUAGCGGUGAAAUGCGUAGAGAUCUGGAGGAAUACCGGUGGCGAAGGCGGCCCCCUGGACAAAGACUGACGCUCAGGUGCGAAAGCGUGGGGAGCAAACAGGAUUAGAUACCCUGGUAGUCCACGCCGUAAACGAUGUCGAUUUGGAGGUUGUGCCCUUGAGGCGUGGCUUCCGGAGCUAACGCGUUAAAUCGACCGCCUGGGGAGUACGGCCGCAAGGUUAAAACUCAAAUGAAUUGACGGGGGCCCGCACAAGCGGUGGAGCAUGUGGUUUAAUUCGAUGCAACGCGAAGAACCUUACCUGGUCUUGACAUCCACAGAACUUUCCAGAGAUGGAUUGGUGCCUUCGGGAACUGUGAGACAGGUGCUGCAUGGCUGUCGUCAGCUCGUGUUGUGAAAUGUUGGGUUAAGUCCCGCAACGAGCGCAACCCUUAUCCUUUGUUGCCAGCGGUUCGGCCGGGAACUCAAAGGAGACUGCCAGUGAUAAACUGGAGGAAGGUGGGGAUGACGUCAAGUCAUCAUGGCCCUUACGACCAGGGCUACACACGUGCUACAAUGGCAUAUACAAAGAGAAGCGACCUCGCGAGAGCAAGCGGACCUCAUAAAGUAUGUCGUAGUCCGGAUUGGAGUCUGCAACUCGACUCCAUGAAGUCGGAAUCGCUAGUAAUCGUAGAUCAGAAUGCUACGGUGAAUACGUUCCCGGGCCUUGUACACACCGCCCGUCACACCAUGGGAGUGGGUUGCAAAAGAAGUAGGUAGCUUAACCUUCGGGAGGGCGCUU